rnacentral:rRNA from 1 species
AUUGAACGCUGGCGGCAGGCCUAACACAUGCAAGUCGAACGAGUGGCGGACGGGUGAGUAAUGUCUGGGAAACUGCCCGUUGUAGGGGGAUAACUCCUGGAAACGGUAGCUAAUACCGCAUACCAUCUGAUGUGCCCAGAUGGGAUGAGUUUGUAAGUGAGUUAACGGCUCACCUAGGCGACGAUCCCUAGCUGGUCUGAGAAGAUGACCAGCCACACUGGAACUGAGACACGGUCCAGACUCCUACGGGAGGCAGCAGUGGGGAAUAUUGCACAAUGGGCGCGAGCCUGAUGCAGCCAUGCCGCGUGUAUGAAGAAGGCCUUCGGGUUGUAAAGUACUUUCAGCGGGGAGGCGUUACCCGCAGAAGAAGCACCGGCUAACUCCGUGCCAGCCGCCGCGGUAAUUC